GGGCUAGUUGCAUAUCUCCGCCAUCUUGGAUUUCCGGUCUUGCGAGUGUGUGCGUAGAUAUUUCCGGUUGUGCUAAACGUCAGUGCAGACAACCGGAGAAUCCAAAUAUUGCCUUCUAUAUGUUUACAGGAUUUAUAAUAUCACUUCAAAUGCAAAUAAGAUAUACACUGCUAUUAUUACUAUACUAUAAAUGUUAACUGAGCCAGUGGAUUUGAAACUUGUGUAUGUUUGGGUCUGGUGAAUGAAUUAAAUACACUAAUGUUCCCUACUGUUCACGAGAUGAAAGUUGAACUCAUGGUGUGUAUACACCGCUACAUAAUGUAUUUUAUCUUACCAAAUAUGUGAAUGUACAAAUUACUUAUUUCUCGAAAAUGUUUGCAUUAUUAUUAUUUUGUUUUAUAUUAAAUAUUUACCUUGUGA